AGAUUAAACUGAAGAGUUUGAUCCUGGCUCAGAUUGAACGCUGGCGGCAUGCCUUACACAUGCAAGUCGAACGGCAGCACGGAGCUUGCUCUGGUGGCGAGUGGCGAA
rnacentral:rRNA from 1 species